ACAGCUGCAGUCCUGCUGCCAUCAACUUCUCAUCAUUUAGCAAAUUUAGCAAAAAACCAAAACAAAAUGAAGCUUUUCGCCAUCCUCCUGAUCACUUUGGCUUUACUGGGUCUCUCUAACGGAGCACCAUUCUUGAUCACCAAGAAACUAAGGAAGGUGCUACGUCCUGUGUUGAUCAAUGCUUGGAACUCACACGUGGUGCCAACGGUGGAUGAUUUUGGACAGCGGCUCGUGUAUGGUGCACCACUGGUUGUUGGAUAGUUUGUAAAGCAGCGUGAAUAUUUAACAAAUUUAGCAAAUUCUUUUAGUAAAAUUAAGUAAAGAAAUGAAUAUAUGACAAUUCAAACAAAAACUGUUAAAA